UACGAAGGGAGCUAGCGUUGUUCGGAAUCACUGGGCGUAAAGCGCACGUAGGCGGAUGUGUCAGUCAGGGGUGAAAUCCCGGAGCUCAACUUCGGAACUGCCUUUGAUACAGCACGUCUUGAGUCCGAUAGAGGUGGGUGGAAUUCCUAGUGUAGAGGUGAAAUUCGUAGAUAUUAGGAAGAACACCGGUGGCGAAGGCGGCCCACUGGAUCGGUACUGACGCUGAGGUGCGAAAGCGUGGGGAGCAAACAGGA
rnacentral:rRNA from 1 species